GUUGUACUGUCCCAGAACACUCCAUUAUGUGAUGAUUUGGCUCAGGACAGACUGUUACCUCUGCUCCCCUCCGCAUGAAUGAUGUGGACCCAGUGCGAGGUUGCAGGCUUGUGUGGAAUGGGGGCGUGAAGAGCACCCAGAGCUUCCUGUCUCCGUUCAUUUCACCCUCAAAGACUCACACUGUGGGUGACCUUUUCACUGACUGCACCCGCCCAGGCACCCAGCGCCGCACAACACCCAACUGUCUGCUUCUACUGCACUCAGCCCUCUGAAACUGUGUCACAUGACCUCAAAGUGUGGGAGUGGAGAGGAAUGUUUCUACUGAAACAGCUGAGCAGCUGUAUUCUCAAAACUUUACCAACUGUUUCUGAGAAAACUAAACCAAAACCAAGCCAGCAUCACCUUUACACCAGCAGCAGCGGUGAGAGCAGAGCGUGGAGGGGAGAUCAUGUGAUCUGUGGUUAGACUGCUAUAUGGUGAGACAAGGGGGCUUUAAAUGAACAUGUGCUUCACUUUGCAAUGUCAAGAUGUACAGAAAGUGGUGUUGUCACAGUUAAAAACAUUUCAAACUCAAUUUCAAUGUAAACUUUGUAGCUGAUCAGUCAUAAACAUUCCCUGGGGGUGUGAAGCCAACUGAAAGCACUGCUCUGUUAGAAGCUUUUACUGAAAUUGGACUUAAUCUGACCUUUAUUUUAACACAAUCUGACCAGAAAAAGCUGGAACUACACCAGAUAAUCUGAUUUGUGCUGUUAAACAAAUCUCUCACAUAUUACAGUCACAAGUUAGCCAGUAUUAGUCAACAGUUUCACUCUUUUUUGUUGAAAAAACACCUAAACAGGACCAUGAACACUCGUAUUCAACUCCUGAAAAUGUUUUGUUUAAAUCUAUUUUGUAUUUUUCCUUUUCAGACAAUCUUAAAACUUUUUUGUCUGCAUUUGCAUUGCCACCAUAGUAACUGUUGAACAUUCCACCAGUAGAAAUGCAUUACAGGACACCCCCUGAUGUUACAGUUAUGUUUUAAUACUAAUGAAAAUGCUUGAUAUCUUGUAAUAAUUUAAGAACCACAAUCGUCACAAAAAUGUUUUUUAGACAAUACAAUGUCAUUUUCAGCUGAAAAUAAUAUAUUUAAUAUUACCAUUUGGUUUUAUAAAAUAAAGAUAAAGAUAAAGUUUUAAAAAGAUCAAGACCAUUCUAAAUUCUGAAAAGGUCCACUUAUGUCUUAUAUUUACGCAAUUUUCAUCCAUGUCAGUACUUGUGAAAUUUGAUAUCAAAUAGUAUCUGGGUAUCAAUUUUGACAACUCUAGUAAAUAGCAGUACAACAACUUACCACCUAAAUACUUUUAAAUCACAUUUUAAAUUAACUUUUGUGCAUGAAAUGCAACCUUAUAAAACUAUGGACUAUGAUCAUGGUGGUAUCCCUCAAAGUUGCCCAUCGCUGCAAUUCAGGCCUAAAUCUGUGUGUAUUUCCAUGUGUACUAGGGUUAGCACAAAUUUCCCCCUGUGUUAGUUGGCAUACAUGAACCUGCCAGGGCUACUUUUCUUCCCUGGAGGUUUUUGAGAUUGAUUACUGCUGGCCUCUCUAUUUGAGGUUAUACAAAUGUGUUAAAUGUACACUGCAUUUAUUCCCAUCUCAGUGUGUGGCCUCAGCAGCUCAUGUAGAGGCCUCGGGGCCAGUCUAUAUUUAGGAGCCAAGGUCGCCCUGCCUGUCUGUCCAUGAGUGGUGAGAGCAGUACUGAUUUGGAGAGGCCCACCACAGGAACAUGCAGCCUCUUCGUCUGACCACUAGUUUUCAGAUAACCAUAUGUGGCCAAAAACAAACACAUGAAGACAUCGGAGGUGGUUAGAGUAUGGACUUAUCAUUAGAAGACAGGGCCCAGGGCUGAGGUGGUAUCACUGGAGGAGGGCAGAGAUAGAAAUGAGUAUCAGCAGUAUCUUAUCGGGUUUGUAACUGUGAGGAGCUGCCCAGCACUAUUGUUCAACUGUUCUCUCUGGGUUGUAAACAUAAUGACAAUGAUUAAAACUAAUGUAACUCAUGUUCAUUCUAAUUGUUUAUUCAAAAAAUGUACUUUUGGCUGAGUGGAGUAUAGGGAGGAAUUAGGGGGGUAUUUAGAUUGUACUAUCUCAUUCCUAGCUUUCACAAACCCUUUGGCAUGUUGCUAGUAUUCACGGAUGGGUUUUACAAUUAGAUGCGGACAGUAUGUAGAGGUCUUUUUGCUUUUACAAUAUAAACUAUGAGGUAAAAAUGAAAUGUACUCUAUUACAAAGUUGGGUAACACCAGCAUUAACUUACAUUUUUGGCGUAUACCAUUCUUGCAAGUUCUC